AUUGAACGCUGGCGGCAGGCCUAACACAUGCAAGUCGAACGGUAACAGGAAGAAGCUUGCUUCUUUGCUGACGAGUGGCGGACGGGUGAGUAAUGCCUGGGAAACUGCCUGAUGGCGGGGGAUAACUACUGGAAACGGUAGCUAAUACCGCAUAACGUCGCAAGACCAAAGAGGGGGACCUUCUGGCCUCUUGCCAUCGGAUGUGCCCAGAUGGGAUUAGCUAGUAGGUGGGGUAACGGCUCACCUAGGCGACGAUCCCUAGCUGGUCUGAGAGGAUGACCAGCCACACUGGAACUGAGACACGGUCCAGACUCCUACGGGAGGCAGCAGUGGGGAAUAUUGGACAAUGGGCGCAAGCCUGAUGCAGCCAUGCCGCGUGUAUGAAGAAGGCCUUCGGGUUGUAAAGUACUUUCAGCGGGGAGGAAGGGAGGAAAGUUAAUACCUUUGCGCAUUGACGGUACCCGAAGAAGAAGCACCGGCUAACUCCGUG
rnacentral:rRNA from 1 species